GUGGCCUCACUAUGGCUGACACAGGAAUCUGGACUGGAAGUGUGGAAAUGACUUCUGAACACACUCAUCACCCAGUAGAAAUACAUAAAUGGUUCCUCCAGCUGCCAUGAGCCAGAUGAACCAGCGCAUAUGAGACGCCACAGGUCCGAGUUCACGGAGAUUUAACCUACAGAAGUAAACAUGAAAACAAAGAACAGAAAGGAUUGCUUACAAAGCUUAAUAAGAACCCUCAACGAAAUCCUGAACCAGAUCACAUAACCACAGCAGAUACCUAAUACUCACACCCCACGUCUCCAUUAUCAGCCUCUUUGCCAAGAAAGAAUAUGAGAAGAACUACUGCAGCAGGUGUUAUGGAAGACUUUUUGUAAGAAUUUAACCAGAGGUCCGGAUUU